GACGAACGCUGGCGGCGUGCUUAACACAUGCAAGUCGAACGCUGAAGCUUGGUGCUUGCACUGGGUGGAUGAGUGGCGAACGGGUGAGUAAUACGUGAGUAACCUGCCCUUGACUCUGGGAUAAGCCUGGGAAACUGGGUCUAAUACUGGAUACGACAUGUCACCGCAUGGUGGUGUGUGGAAAGGGGUUUACUGGUUUUGGAUGGGCUCACGGCCUAUCAGCUUGUUGGUGGGGUAAUGGCUCACCAAGGCGACGACGGGUAGCCGGCCUGAGAGGGUGACCGGCCACACUGGGACUGAGACACGGCCCAGACUCCUACGGGAGGCAGCAGUGGGGAAUAUUGCACAAGGGGCGGAAGCCUGAUGCAGCAACGCCGCGUGAGGGAUGACGGCCUUCGGGUUGUAAACCUCUUUCAGCACGGAAGAAGCGAAAGUGACGGUACGUGCAGAAGAAGCGCCGGCUAACUACGUG
rnacentral:rRNA from 1 species